GCUUCGGUGGUGUAGUGGUAGAGCACGCUUGCCCAGGUAGGAUGAAAAGCGGUUCAAUUCCCGCCUGAGGCC